rnacentral:misc_RNA from 1 species
CAAGGAAACAAAUUUAUGAAAUGCAUAUACAACCCAACAAUUAGGAUUUAAGUUUAAGAAAUGCAUCAAGAGUGGCGAAGAGUAAAAAUGAAAACCUGCAAUUGGCAGCAAGUUCAUCAGUGGAGAAACCCUCACACGAAGAAAGCACCAGAACCUUGAAAUUCUUAAAUGACUUAGCAAUCAGCUCCAAAAACUCAUAUGUAAAAAGUACAAAAUAAUUUUUCACAUUAUAGGAUGUACAGAAGGAAAAGUAACAAUAGUGGAAAAAUUAGUAAUAACUAAAAUAAAAGAGACGAAAUAUUUUAUCUUGCACAGUACAUAUUCCUAAACCAUUGAGAAAAAAAUUUGCAUUGAUGACCAUGAUAAAAGCCAGGGGAAAUGAAACAUGCUCAUGUUUUGAAAUUCAAGCUAGAAAAGAAAACCUAAUGCUGGAUGCCUCCUUGGACAAUGUCUACAUGAAGAAUUAGCACCUUCUCCCACAGCACUUCCCCUCCUUUGCUUUGACCCAGAUAUUUUAUUGAGGCCAACCGGGUCACCAACACAAUCUCUUAUGCCUUGUCUCACACUCUAGAUCACUCAAUUCUCAGCCAAUGGAUUAGAAGUUAACAAUUUAGAAUUAAGAACCAAAAUUGCUACAACAGAAAAUAAGCUAGUUCAGCAAAAUAAUAAUAAUAAUAAUAAGCUAAACGAAGAAACAAAGUGUACAUAAGAGUAUUACGAAGACCAUAUUCAUAUGUACCAUCAGGAUCUGAAGCAGAUGUCCCCAUCAAAUACCAAUCACUACAUACCAAGGAUUCAAUAAAACAAAGCAAUAAAAUAAAAGGAUUGAUUUCGUUUUGACAUCUGUGUUCAUUUUUCCAACGAUCAAUUUAUUGUUAUAGCCAAGUAAUGAUCCUCGAGAACAAAAUUGAAAUCAAGCAACAGCAAUGUGGAGUUUGGCCUUAUAAUCACUACAACCAAUAAACACGUCAGGUACAGUCCUUAGUCCAGUCCAGUCCACUCUGCUAAAGCUGAUUGAAUUUCAGCUCCAUCACCUUUAAAAAAAGAGAAAUUUGAUUUAAAAUGCAGAAUUUUUUAGCUCAAAAAACAGUUUUAGAUCAGGCAAAGAGGUCUUAUACUCUUACUUUCCUCAUCCAGUUCAAUGACCUUGAAACCUGCUCCUAACUGUGUCAGCAGCUGCUUGAACCUAUUGCAAUAACCACAGUAUGUUUUUUAUUGUAAACAAAAAAACGAAGACAUUAAACGACGACUGGAACAAAAGUGGAGAUCGAUUUGGCUUUAUUAAGUGCCAUUUCAAUUUCUCAAUAAGAAAAGACAACAUAUAGCCAAUUAUCAAAUUUCAAAAUAGAAAGAGAAAUGGCAUUUCUGAUUAGCAUUAACAUACCUCAGUCAUAUCUAAGAUCAGAGAUUCGACAAAGAUGAUUUUGAUUUAAUUGCAAAAGAGUUGGGAAAUUAACUGUUCAAUUUCAAAUUUUGAUGAUUAAAACCACGAAUUGACUUUCCUUGGGAAAAUGGUUUUCCAUUUUCAGAUUUAUAUUUAAUACCAGUCUCUGCAAAAGAGAUCCCAGAUACAAUAAUCCAUAUGGAAAGAGGGAAAAAAACACAUUAAAAAACGCAAAAAAAUAUGAUUUGCAAAUCUGAUUUCUCAACAUGUUAGUGACCCAACUUUCUGCAGAUCCUGAAAAAGCAAUGGAUGUCAUCUGGAGCUGACUAUGCUUUAGUGAGGCAUAAACGACGGAAGUUGCAGUUGAUUAGUCCGUGGUGAACCCAGGCCUAUCUUUGGCUGCGGGCCACCCCACGCUGUCGGAUUGGUACCACUGGGUUCUCCGGACCUGAUGAAGGGAGCGACGGCGGCGGAAUGGCGGUAUGAUGCUCGGAAGGCGGUGAGACGGCGCUGGAUAUGUUUAUUUCUUUCAGAAGAUUAGGGUGAGAAGCUGGAGGAAAACACAAAAAC